rnacentral:rRNA from 1 species
UACGGAGGGUGCAAGCGUUAUCCGGAUUCACUGGGUUUAAAGGGAGCGUAGGAGGGCAGGUAAGUCAGUGGUGAAAUCUUCGAGCUUAACUCGGAAACUGCCGUUGAUACUAUCUGUCUUGAAUACCGUGGAGAUGAGCGGAAUAUGUCAUGUAGCGGUGAAAUGCUUAGAUAUGACAUAGAACACCAAUUGCGAAGGCAGCUCGUUACACGAAUAUGACUCUGAGGCUCGAAAGCGUGGGGAUCAAACAGG